rnacentral:rRNA from 1 species
AGCAGCAGCCACGGUAAUACGAAGGGUGCAAGCGUUAAUCGGAAUUACUGGGCGUAAAGCGUGCGUAGGCGGUGAGUUAAGUCUGCUGUGAAAUCCCCGGGCUCAACCUGGGAAUGGCAGUGGAUACUGGCUCGCUAGAGUGUGUCAGAGGAUGGUGGAAUUCCCGGUGUAGCGGUGAAAUGCGUAGAGAUCGGGAGGAACAUCAGUGGCGAAGGCGGCCAUCUGGGACAACACUGACGCUGAGGCACGAAAGCGUGGGGAGCAAACAGGAUUAGAUACCCCCGUAGUCCCUGUCUCUUAUAC